UACGUAGGGGGCAAGCGUUGUCCGGAAUCAUUGGGCGUAAAGCGCGUGUAGGCGGCCUUGUAAGUCCGUUCUGAAAGCCCGGGGCUCAACCCCGGGAGGCGGAUGGAUACUGCAAGGCUCGAGUACGGAAGAGGCGAGUGGAAUUCCCGGUGUAGCGGUGAAAUGCGCAGAUAUCGGGAGGAACACCAGUGGCGAAGGCGGCUUUCUGGCUCGCAACUGACGCUGUAGCGCGAAAGCGUGGGGAGCGAACGGG
rnacentral:rRNA from 1 species